GUGAACGCCCUCACGGGCUUAUACUAUUCCAAACCUCUGUGAACCGUGCCCUCCGGGGCUAUUUUACAAACAUGGUGUAAUGAACGUCAUAUAUCAUAACAAAACA
rnacentral:misc_RNA from 1 species